rnacentral:rRNA from 1 species
GCUUACGGCCACACCGGCCUGAGUACGCCUGAUCUCGUCCGAUCUCGGAAGCUAAGCAGGGUCGGGCCUGGUUAGUAACUUGGAUGGGAGACCGCACUGGGAAUACCAGGUGCUGUAAGCU